rnacentral:rRNA from 1 species
CCUACGGGAGGCAGCAGUAAGGAAUAUUGGUCAAUGGAGGCAACUCUGAACCAGCCAUGCCGCGUGCAGGAUGACGGCCCUAUGGGUUGUAAACUGCUUUUAUACAAGAGAAAACCCUGGUACGUGUACCAGGUUGAUAGUAUUGUAAGAAUAAGCAUCGGCUAACUUCGUGCCAGCAGCCGCGGUAAGACGAAGGAUGCAAGCGUUAUCCGGAUUCAUUGGGUUUAAAGGGUGCGUAGGCGGACUGAUAAGUCAGUGGUGAAAUCUCUUUGCUUAACAAAGAAACUGCCAUUGAUACUGUCGGUCUAGAGUAUAGAUGACGUUGGCGGAAUAUGACAUGUAGUGGUGAAAUACUUAGAUAUGUCAUAGAACACCGAUUGCGAAGGCAGCUAACGAAACUAUAACUGACGCUGAGGCACGAAAGUGCGGGGAUCAAACAGGAUUAGAUACCCUGGUAGUCCGCACCGUAAACGAUGAUUACUCGUUGUUGGCGAUAUGACAGUCAGCGACCAAGCGAAAGCGAUAAGAAUCCACCUGGGGAGUACGCCGGCAACGGUGAAACUCAAAGGAAUUGACGGCGNGAGAGNGCGACGGACGACGACGAGGGAGGAGG